CGUUCCGCGCGGUGCUAUCUUUAUCUUUAAUAGACGAAACUUGACCCUGCCAUCGGGCCAAAUCGAUCGAUCGUUCAGCCACGUCGCUCUUAUUUCUUACACGUCCGAUUGUGAUCCAGCGGUUGGAACUGGUUAUCACGAAGGGUCUCAAGCUGUCGUUCCGGUGCCUGUUUAUGGUUUCGCAAUCCUUCGUUUCAGACUGUUGGGCUCGGCGAUCCAUUGUUUCCCACCGCCGCUUGGCCUCCUCCGGCUCCACGUCCUCCCGCCGCCUGCUCCGGCCUCCAGCACGCUCCGUCCAUCGCGCCGCCCGGCGGUCGCACGAAUCGAUUAGGACGGCGACAAGGCGAAGGGGACAGGCGCUGUGUUCACGAGCCCUGACGCUGCUUAACUGCUUCCCCCAGCAUCCAUUCCACAUAGCCUCAGUCAGCGGGAACUCGGCGUGCGGCGAGGGAGUCAAUUCCUCCUUGCCGCUGUCCACGCUACUCCGGCAGCCCUCGUCGCCCUCCAUGCUGGGCUUCCGUGUCUCUAGUGGUGAAGCUCACGCUGCCGCCGCCGCUAUCUUACUGGUUGUCAACUCCGUUUUCCUGCGACCGAGCACAUAGCCUCGGCGCCUGCCCAACCACAUGUCGUAGCGGCGCCGUCUCCGCCGCAGGGUCCAGGAAGCGCGAGCCUGCGAGCGUUGUUGCUGGCACCACCUCCACGCAUCCAACUCCAGCUCCAGGUUCUGUACUCUCUCCAGCACCUUUUUGUGAUAUCGUAAGCUCCGCACUACAUCAUUCAUCUAUACCGCAAGCAAGCUAGUUCCGCAAGGAUAUGUUGCUAGGACAAAGGUAAAUUUUCUUUCCCCCGAUAUAAUCAGCCCUGCCAAAGUGUGGGUACUGGUGACCUCCUUCAUUUACUUCCAUGCCCAUUUACUGUUCGCUGAAAUGUCAAUGUAGCAUAUAAAUUUGAUUGAGCAGGAGCAAAGCAUGUUUUACUGAAGUACUUAUUGAUCUUGUUCCUGAUGCUAAACAAGUGAAAAUUGACAAAUGAAGCAAUUAUUAUUGUGUGUCAAGUAUUAGUUUUCAUCCACUUCUUCAGUUUCUGGCAAGUAAUCUUCUUGAGCGCAUUAUAUCUGCCUCUCUAUCCCCAACGUUGGCAUAUGUUCUGGGCUCUUUAGUAUCCACCGACAUGCUUAGAAUAAUUAAGUAUAAAGCCAUUAAUUUGCUAGGUUCAUUUCUAUUGCUUGCUCAGUCAGAUACUCAGAUAAAAAAUACCGAUUUGAAAUCUUAUGCUGACGAGUUGCAAUGCAUAUGCCAAGGUCAAAUUUCAACAAAAUAAAAUCAACAUGGUAUUAGCGCUGACAAAAUUAGUACAAUUGAAAUAGCAACCGCACAAUUUUAAUACCCUUAAAAUUUUUGUACAUUAUCAAUAUACCAUUAUACAUGAGACAUGAUUGAGUUGAUUGAGUGCUAUGAAGGAUUGCAUUUGGCCGCACAAGUUGAGCCGGCCUUGAUGUAUCUGUAUAUACAAGAUAUACCUUCACUCAUAGGAGAUACACCCCAGGUUGCUGGAGAUGGCAAAUAUAGCAAUGAGUCCAAGUUAACUCUUAUGUGCUAUAUCAAAUAAUUUACUACCAUUCAAUUGUUCAAGACAGAUUUUUGCAUUUCGUCCAUUGUUGUUUCCUGGCAUAUAACAGAGGACCAGUAAAAGGAAAACGAUUAUCAAAAAAGGUGAAAUGUCUCUGCUAACAAAGUCCCUUCUUAUUAGGAUCUAUUUAUGUCAGCCAACAAGAAAGUGAUGACGACUGAAGUUAGCCGAGGAGAUGAAGCCACGAAGGAGCCUAAGUCCAACGAGAGGCUCGGCUCCACGCAUCAUGACUUUUGAGACUGACAGCUUGCAACUUUGCAAAGACCAGUUGCUCUCUUUUUAAUCUUCUCUUCAGAUUGUCAGAAAUGGUCAUAAUUCCAUGGGGGAAUAAUACCAAAACUACAUUAUGAUUCUGCUCCUAUCUCAUUUAUUUUCGCUAAAAUUGUUUGUCCCUGUUAUUGUAGUUUCUUCUGUAAUUGUUCUUUGUCAUCAAGUACUAAUCCACAGUUCCACACAAUGAAUUACACGGAUGCUCAGAGUAUUGAUGUGAAUGAAUACAGCUGAAAAGAUA